CCUACGGGGGGCAGCAGUGGGGAAUAUUGCACAAUGGGCGCAAGCCUGAUGCAGCCAUGCCGCGUGUGUGAAGAAGGCCUUCGGGUUGUAAAGCACUUUCAGCGGGGAGGAAGGCGUUAAGGUUAAUAACCUUGGCGAUUGACGUUACCCGCAGAAGAAGCACCGGCUAACUCCGUGCCAGCAGCCGCGGUAAUACGGAGGGUGCAAGCGUUAAUCGGAAUUACUGGGCGUAAAGCGCACGCAGGCGGUCUGUCAAGUCGGAUGUGAAAUCCCCGGGCUCAACCUGGGAACUGCAUUCGAAACUGGCAGGCUAGAGUCUUGUAGAGGGGGGUAGAAUUCCAGGUGUAGCGGUGAAAUGCGUAGAGAUCUGGAGGAAUUCCGGUGGCGAAGGCGGCCCCCUGGACAAAGACUGACGCUCAGGUGCGAAAGCGUGGGGAGCAAACAGGAUUAGAUACCCCGGUAGUC
rnacentral:rRNA from 1 species